AGCAUAACUUUAUGCAUUUCUCUAGAUGACAUGAGAAAACAAAUUGUGAGAUUAAAAGUCACAUGUAAGGAAAAAUGUGCAUUGAAGGAACCUUCACUACAGACGGUCAUUCUGAAUGAGAUAAGUGAAAAGCUGAAGAACACGAUGUUGGAGAGUGACAGCAAAAUAAGCUGGAGAACAGGGGAAGAUGGAGUGGUGUUUCAUCAGCAGAACAACCAUAUGGGGAAUCAAGAUAAUAAAUGUUAUAGGCAUCUGUAAUGUAUUUUUUAAAACUUAAACACGGUUUAAAAAAAAUAUCAAGUAAUGUUAUUGUUUUGAGGAACUGGAAAUAUAACAACAUUAAUGAAUCUAGUCUAACUUUAGCUAGAAAUAUUUGCACUCUUUAAAGAUUAUAGGCUACUUUUCUUUUAACAAUCUUAAUUAAAUUUUCUUCAGUUCCAAUAAUUAUUAUUAUUAUUUAAUCUUUUAAAAAUCUUUCAAUAGUUUAAAUUCACUGUGAUUUUUCAUUACUUCGGUAUAUGCAUUUUAAGAUUUUGAGAUAUAGUCAAGGCCUACUGUACUGUAUGUGUGCCCUUAGUUGAUAAGUAAAAUAUGAUAUCAUUGCCAAAAUAAACUUACAGGAGAUUCGGCUGCAAUAAUACAGUGCAUAUUUGUCCUAUUUUAAGAUUUCUAUAUGUCAGAUUUUGAAUUGUAAAAAUACAGUGCUCUUUUCAUAUGUGUUUAAUUUAAAACAGUAACUUAAAGAGAUUAAAAGCCAUUCUGUAGUUGAUUUACUUGUUGCAUUAUGGAAGAAUAAGGACAAUUUCCAACAAGGAGAACAGAAAAACAAUAAGAAAGAAAAGAAAGAAACACCAUAUCUUUGUAAUGCUUUGAAGCAUUAUCGCGCAAAAUGAACGCGCGGCCCAAGAUGAUUUUGGUGGCAUCUAGUGGUUGUAAACCGUAAUGCAGUGUAAUUGAUGCUUACCGAUGUGCUUCCUAUGUAUGUUAUAUUUUAAAGAUUUUUUUUUUUUCGUUGUCUUUCUCUAGAGAGUUAAUUAAAAAAAGAAUCCAAUAACCUGACAGGUCGGAUAAACCGAAACAUCUACAACAUGAACUGUUUUAGAACCAGGGUUGGACUUAUCUAUUAUUUAAAAAUUGUAAAAAAAAAUUGUAUAAUAUAUUUAUUAAAAUCGAUUGAGAAAUGAUUUUUCUAAAAGUUGUAGGCUUAUGUCAAUAAGUACAUUAAUUAGCUUAGCUGUAUUGUGCAUUCUUGCCACCUUACAUAUACCAUUCAAUACCAUUUAAAUGAUGUAAAUAUUGUUGUAACAACAACAUAAAACUGUUUAUACUUAAGUAUAUACAAAAAGAUCUUGAGUAGAGUUAUGUGUAAACUCUAUCCCCAUUGAUAUGUAAAAUGUAGUGAAAUGAUUCUCAUAAUAAUUUAAAUGAAGUAUAGGGCAGGAAACAUCAUAUGCAUAUUAUCCCUAUUGUCAGAUGAUGCUUAGAUGUGUGAAUUGUGAAAUUUAGAAAUACACUGUUUUCUUCUGAAACUAAUUUUUAUUUUAUUACAAUUAUUGCAUGUAUACAGAGAUAUUUUAAGAGAUGAAUAUUGAGAAUUAUGAUAUUGAUAUUUUUAAUUUACAUUGAACAAAGCUUACAGAAAAUAAAGUUCUUAAUCAUG
ensembl:lncRNA